rnacentral:misc_RNA from 1 species
GCAAACUUGGUCAUUUAGAGGAAGUAAAAGUCGUAACAAGGUUUCCGUAGGUGAACCUGCGGAAGGAUCAUUAUUGAAUAAAUUUGGAUUGGGUUGUUGCUGGCUCCUAGGAACAUAUGUGCACACCCACUCCAUUUUUUAUAACCACCUGUGCACUUUUGUAGACCUGAAUAGUAAGAAUUGCUAUCACCUGGCAACUUCUCUUAUUUGGGUCUAUGUUUUCCACAAACUACAGAAUGUAUGAGAAUGUUGUAAUAGGCCUUUUUUGUGCCUUUAAACUACAUAAAACAACUUUCAACAACGGAUCUCUUGGCUCUCGCAUCGAUGAAGAACGCAGC